rnacentral:rRNA from 1 species
GACGAACGCUGGCGGCGUGCUUAACACAUGCAAGUCGAACGGAAAGGCCCUGCUUUUGUGGGGUGCUCGAGUGGCGAACGGGUGAGUAACACGUGAGUAACCUGCCCUUGACUUUGGGAUAACUUCAGGAAACUGGGGCUAAUACCGGAUAGGAGCUCCUGCUGCAUGGUGGGGGUUGGAAAGUUUCGGCGGUUGGGGAUGGACUCGCGGCUUAUCAGCUUGUUGGUGGGGUAGUGGCUUACCAAGGCUUUGACGGGUAGCCGGCCUGAGAGGGUGACCGGCCACAUUGGGACUGAGAUACGGCCCAGACUCCUACGGGAGGCAGCAGUGGGGAAUAUUGCACAAUGGGCGGAAGCCUGAUGCAGCAACGCCGCGUGCGGGAUGACGGCCUUCGGGUUGUAAACCGCUUUCGCCUGUGACGAAGCGUGAGUGACGGUAAUGGGUAAAGAAGCACCGGCUAACUACGUGCCAGCAGCCGCGGUGAUACGUAGGGUGCGAGCGUUGUCCGGAUUUAUUGGGCGUAAAGGGCUCGUAGGUGGUUGAUCGCGUCGGAAGUGUAAUCUUGGGGCUUAACCCUGAGCGUGCUUUCGAUACGGGUUGACUUGAGGAAGGUAGGGGAGAAUGGAAUUCCUGGUGGAGCGGUGGAAUGCGCAGAUAUCAGGAGGAACACCAGUGGCGAAGGCGGUUCUCUGGGCCUUUCCUGACGCUGAGGAGCGAGAGCGUGGGGAGCGAACAGGCUUAGAUACCCUGGUAGUCCACGCUGUAAACGGUGGGUACUAGGUGUGGGGUCCAUUCCACGGGUUCCGUGCCGUAGCUAACGCUAUAAGUACCCCGCCUGGGGAGUACGGCCGCAAGGCUAAAACUCAAAGGAAUUGACGGGGCCCCGCACAAGCGGCGGAGCAUGCGGAUUAAUUCGAUGCAACGCGUAGAACCUUACCUGGGUUUGACAUGGAUCGGGAGUGCUCAGAGAUGGGUGUGCCUCUUUUGGGGUCGGUUCACAGGUGGUGCAUGGCUGUCGUCAGCUCGUGUCGUGAGAUGUUGGGUUAAGUCCCGCAACGAGCGCAACCCUUGUUCACUGUUGCCAGCACGUUAUGGUGGGGACUCAGUGGAGACCGCCGGGGUCAACUCGGAGGAAGGUGGGGAUGACGUCAAGUCAUCAUGCCCCUUAUGUCCAGGGCUUCACGCAUGCUACAAUGGCUGGUACAGAGAGUGGCGAGCCUGUGAGGGUGAGCGAAUCUCGGAAAGCCGGUCUCAGUUCGGAUUGGGGUCUGCAACUCGACCUCAUGAAGUCGGAGUCGCUAGUAAUCGCAGAUCAGCAACGCUGCGGUGAAUACGUUCCCGGGGCU